GUAAGGAAUAUUGGACAAUGGGGGGAACCCUGAUCCAGCCAUGCCGCGUGUGUGAAGAAGGCCUUUUGGUUGUAAAGCACUUUAAGCGAGGAGGAGGCUACCGAGAUUAAUACUCUUGGAUAGUGGACGUUACUCGCAGAAUAAGCACCGGCUAACUCUGUGCCAGCAGCCGCGGUAAUACAGAGGGUGCAAGCGUUAAUCGGAUUUACUGGGCGUAAAGCGCGCGUAGGUGGCCAAUUAAGUCAAAUGUGAAAUCCCCGAGCUUAACUUGGGAAUUGCAUUCGAUACUGGUUGGCUAGAGUAUGGGAGAGGAUGGUAGAAUUCCAGGUGUAGCGGUGAAAUGCGUAGAGAUCUGGAGGAAUACCGAUGGCGAAGGCAGCCAUCUGGCCUAAUACUGACACUGAGGUGCGAAAGCAUGGGGAGCAAACAGGAUUAGAUACCCGAGUAGUCC
rnacentral:rRNA from 1 species